CCUUAAAGAACCUGCCUUUGCAGUGCUCACACAGAUUGUCUGAUGAACGUAAAGAAGCAAGGCGUCUUGCGAUUGAGACUUCAGUGUCCCCUUCGUCUAGAGGCCCAGGACACCGCCCUUUCACGGCGGUAACAGGGGUUCGAAUCCCCUAGGGGACGCCACUUGCUGGUUCGUGAGUGAAAGACGCGUGCCGAUGUAUCUCAAAACUCAUCUUCGGGUGACGUUUGAGAUAUUUGCUCUUUAAAAAUCUGGAUCAAGCUGAAAAUUGAAACGACACACAGUCAAUGUGUGUUCGAGUCUCUCAAAUUUUCGCAAUCAGAAGUGAAACAUCUUCGGGUUGUGA
rnacentral:misc_RNA from 2 species